UGGCGGACGGGUGAGUAACGCGUGGAUAACCUGCCCCAUACAGGGGGAUAACAGUUAGAAAUGACUGCUAAUACCGCAUAAGACCACGGCACCGCAUGGUGCAGGGGUAAAAACUCCGGUGGUAUGGGAUGGAUCCGCGUCUGAUUAGCUUGUUGGCGGGGUAACGGCCCACCAAGGCGACGAUCAGUAGCCGACCUGAGAGGGUGGCCGGCCACAUUGGGACUGAGACACGGCCCAAACUCCUACGGGAGGCAGCAG
rnacentral:rRNA from 1 species